rnacentral:rRNA from 1 species
AACGAACGCUGGCGGCAUGCCUAACACAUGCAAGUCGAACGAGACCUUCGGGUCUAGUGGCGCACGGGUGCGUAACGCGUGGGAAUCUGCCCUUGGGUUCGGAAUAACAGUUAGAAAUGACUGCUAAUACCGGAUAAUGUCUUCGGACCAAAGAUUUAUCGCCCAGGGAUGAGCCCGCGUAGGAUUAGCUAGUUGGUGAGGUAAAGGCUCACCAAGGCGACGAUCCUUAGCUGGUCUGAGAGGAUGAUCAGCCACACUGGGACUGAGACACGGCCCAGACUCCUACGGGAGGCAGCAGUGGGGAAUAUUGGACAAUGGGCGAAAGCCUGAUCCAGCAAUGCCGCGUGAGUGAUGAAGGCCUUAGGGUUGUAAAGCUCUUUACCCGGGAUGAUAAUGACAGUACCGGGAGAAUAAGCCCGGCUAACUCCGUGCCAGCAGCC